GGAGAAGAACUGUAGCUCAGUGACAGAGCAUCUCCUUUGCAUGCAGAAGAUCCCAGGUUCAAUCCCUAGCAUCUCCA
rnacentral:tRNA from 1 species